UUUUUUUUCAUUUUCAAAUAUAAAACAGGAAAUAUGAUAACGAGAGACUCGACUCAACUAUACUACGACAAACUCCGACACCAACUAAAAGAAUCACUACUGGACAUGACUAUAAAGUACAAGACAACAUAAAAAAGAAACAGACUCAAAACAUAGAAAAAUAAUCUUCUUAAGCAACUCCUGGAUGCAACGGUCCUGACCAGAUGGUCCUAGGGUGUCUGUCAUGCUCAACCUCCGGUAAGUAGAUCCACACCUGUAUGAAAAACUAAAACCAAAUAGAGUUAAAGACUUAGAACACUAUGUGAGACAAUAACAUUCCCUAUUGGACACAUGCAAGACAUGAUUGAGGCUAUUUUUGCAAAAUGGCUUAUGUGGCCAAAAAGUGGCUAGAAGUGCAAACUCAACAAAAGUGACCUUUAAGACAUGGAAGAAUUACUUGUAGAAAUGGCCUAUUUUAGGAAAUGGUCUACGUGGACAAAAAUGUCUAAGCAUGAAAAUUCAACACAAUGGACCUUAAACAGAGAGAACAUCUUGUUGUAGACUUGGAACUCUAAAACAUGGGUCACUGAACCACUUUUGCGAAAAUGACCCCAUUUUGUAAGAACGGCCGAUAUGGCCAAAAGCGCCUAGAUAUGCAAAUUCGACAAGGACAGACCUUUAAGUAAAGAGACGCCUAAUUGUGGGUUCAAGACUCUCCAAAUACAAUUAAACAAACCACUUUGCGAAAAUAGCCUUAUUUUGCAAAAUGACCGAUAUGGCCAAAAGUGGCUAGACAUGCAAGAUUUGGCUAAGACCCCGCGAAGUCAAGAACAUAAGACUUACUAAGAAGACCGGACCCUAUGUGGGUUACCUACGUAUCACACCCCGAAAGACGAGAAUCAAGUAUGCGUAGUUCGGGCAGAUUGGAUACGGGCGAGAAUUAAAAAACAACCAAUUUAGAGAAAAUAUAUUUUUUAUCUUUUUGUUUUGAAAAAUGUUGAAACAUGUAAACUCUUUUUGGAUUUUCUUUUUCCUUUUUUUUUUUUGGAAAAUGAUGGGAAAGUGCAAAAUCUUUUUGGGUUUUUCAUUUUUUUUUUCUUUUUAAAAAAAUGUGAAAGAAAAAUAUAAUUGGGCCCUACUUGCUUUAUUUUUUACACUUCACCCUCUUUUUUUUCAUUUAUCAUCAAGCCUCAUUGGUCCGCCAAAUGACCCAUUUUACCCUUGAAAAUUGCAACAUGUAACACAUAGGAUGCAUCAGGAUGGUCUUUUAUUUUGGGUAUACCUGUCCUAGACGGACCCAACCCCUGUGUUGAGUCCCCAAAGUCAAAUGCACGGGAUGCAAACAAGCGUUCCUACUAGGGAUCCGGCAUGAGACUAUGUUAUUCUAGAUUUAAAACCUAGGUGUAUUGUUCUAGACCUGGAUUACCCGAGCGGACAACUCGAGCCGAGGGGGGCCAGCGUACCGGUAACCAAAAGAGCAUCCGGCUUUGCAACUUGUCCGAACCUCGUUCUAAAUUAGGGUAUGGCACUAACAGAAAGAAGUCAUGCCAGCGUACACUUCUCAGAAGGUUAGAAGAGAGGGGUUUCGUAGCAGUUUAUAUACAGUUCAGAUAAUAUCAAAGCGGUAGAAAGAAACAUUUAGCACAUUAGGCCCAAACAUGUAAAUAAAAUCAGAUAAUAAAUAAAGCCAAAUAUAACAAUUAUUCUAAGCUCAAAUUCUUGAACCCUAAACCGGAGAUUCUGGGUUUUGGUCCCUAGCGGCGUCGCUAGAGCUGUCACACCUCCUUUUUCUACUCCCGGAAGGGAGUAUAGGGAAGUUUUUCCAAUUUAAGUGACAAUCGAAACGGGAUUAUUUAUAUUAAAAUCAGAGUCACCACUUGGGAUAAUUUAUGGUGUCCCAAGUCACCGGUUUAAAUCCCGAAUCGAGGAAGUUUGACUCUGUUUUACAGUCCGCGAAAUACAGAAAUUUGGGUAAGGAAUUAUGUUAACCCGGGAGAAGGAGUUAGGCAUUUCCGGGUUCCGUGGUUUUAGCACGGUCGCUCAACUGUUAAUAUUGGCCUAUUUAUCUGAUUUUAAAACAUUUUUGAAACCUAUGCAUUUUAUUCCUUUUAAAACCGCUUUUAAUAAUCCAAUUGUCAUAAAGCUAAUUAUUUUGAUUACACAUUGUGAAUCAUGUCGCGGGAGUCAUACCCACGAUCCACAGCAUGUUUGUUUUGUUAACAAGAUUAAAUUGUGGUGGGGUCACAUAAAUGUACCCCCAGAUUUUAAAAAUUAAGCAUCACAACUACGUCACGGGAACUGUACCCGUGGCUAUGACAAUUUAUUCAAUUAAUGCGCCUAAAGCAAACUACGAAAGUUCAACGUAUUUUCUACACUAGUUAAGAUAUCGAUGUGAGGGACAUAGACUAGGUGAUUGGAUGGCACACCUCCAUUUUAUUAAUGGAAAAGCAUUCAACUAAGUGAACUACGGAUAUUCAUGUUUGAAACUAAUUUGAGAUUAAGUAUCACAACCACGCCAUGGGAACCAUACCCGUAGUUGCGAUGAUUUAAUUACAUGCCUAAAGUAAUUAACGGUUAUGGGAGAAAAGUAGAAAUAAAACAAACUAAAAUGAAUGGAUGAAAGUCAAUUCAUGUUAAUUUUUAAUUCGGUUUCAAUCACAAAUCUCAUGGCCCGUAAAGAUGUAUACAUUAUUCAAACAAUCCAAACAUGAAACGCCCAAACAACUCUAGCGAAUAAUAAUUCCAACAGAAUUUAAACCAAGAAGAAUUGAGAAACAAUAGAUAAGUAUCAUGUUGUUCAUAUCACAUUAGAAGCUGAUGCAAAAAUAAAAGUAACAGUGAUAAGAAUUGAACCUGGGAUUGCUUCUUUUAAAUGAGUAAAAUCAAAAACUAAAAAAGUAUGCUAGGACUGACUGUGUGCAAGACCCGACAAUGAAGUUUGAAUGUGCAACAAAAAACAACAAGACAGCAACGAUCGAAAUCGGAACCGCGAAUUGAACCGACGACGGAAUCACUUCGAAUCGAAUUCCGAAUCAGCAAACCUGAAAACCCGAAAUUGGACCGAACAAAAUUUUUUCUUUUGGUUUUUAACUCCUCCAUGUAAAUCAUAGAAAAGCAGAGCUUUGCAAAAGGUACACGCUUUAUUCAUUAUCCUUCCAUCCAAUGACACUUCAUCGACAAAAUUAGCUCCACUUUCUAAAACCCCAAAUUUCUUCAAAUAAUCAGAUCGGUUCCUCCUAAAUCUAUCUUCCUCUAUUUAUUUAUUUUGCGUGUGCUUUUUGUGUGUUGUUUGGUUUAGAGAGUGGAUGUCAUUCUCCUCUUUUGUGUGUUCAUGCUGCUGGAGGAAGUAAUGUAGUAGGUGUUGUAAUGAAGGAGUUGUUCUUUUGGUGAAGAAGAUGAUACAAUGGUUGUGUCCAUUUUCUAAAAUCAGAAAUGGCUGAUGUGAUUUUAGGUCUAGG
rnacentral:lncRNA from 1 species